rnacentral:rRNA from 1 species
UACGUAGGCAGCGAGCGUUGUUCGGAGUUACUGGGCGUAAAGAGUGCGUAGGCGGUUUUCUAAGUUUGGUGUGAAAUCUCCCGGCUUAACUGGGAGGGUGCGCCGAAGACUGGAAGGCUUGAGUAUGGGAGAGGUAAGCGGAAUUCCUGGUGUAGCGGUGAAAUGCGUAGAUAUCAGGAGGAACACCGGUGGCGAAGGCGGGUCUCUGGGCCGUAACUGACGCUGAGGAGCGAAAGCGUGGGGAGCGAACAGG